CAAAACCGAGAAUCUCCGUUGCUCCAAGCCGUUUCAUCUCAAAGAAAUAUAUUUUAUCGAUAAAAUCGUUUUUGCCGUAUAAUGGACACUGUGGGAGAUGGUACUGUGACAGUACCAUUGGCCCAGGAUGACAUAAAUGUGCAGCUUGUAAAUGGACAUAUCUAUGCAAACACUUGUAAUAUUCAGGUGUCUGACACGAGCCAGAUUCCAAUUCAAAUAACUCUCGAUUCUAGCCAGCACAACUAUAGUGCACCUGUUGCCAUGGAACAUGUUGUGAUACGGUCAGAUGAUCAUAACAGUGAUCAGAUUCUUAUUACAGAUACAAGGAGUCUGAAAGAUGA